UACGUAGGUGGCAAGCGUUGUCCGGAUUUACUGGGCGUAAAGCGCCCGCAGGCGGCUUGGCAAGUUUGGGGUGAAAUCUCCCGGCUCAACUGGGAGGGUGCCUCGAAAACUGCCAGGCUUGAGGCAUGGAGAGGGAUGCGGAAUUCCCGGUGUAGUGGUGAAAUGCGUAGAUAUCGGGAGGAACACCAGUGGCGAAGGCAGCAUCCUGGCCAUGUCCUGACGCUCAGGGGCGAAAGCGUGGGGAGCAAACCGG
rnacentral:rRNA from 1 species